rnacentral:rRNA from 1 species
AUUGAACGCUGGCGGCAGGCCUAACACAUGCAAGUCGAGCGCGCGGCGGACGGGUGAGUAAUGUCUCGGAAACUGCCCGUUGGAGGGGGAUAACUACUGGAAACGGUAGCUAAUAUCGCAUACCCUCUGAUGUGCCCCGAUGGGAUUAGCUAGUAGGGGGGGUAAAGGCUCACCUCGGCGACGAUCCCUAGCUGGUCUGAGAGGAUGACCAGCCACACUGGAAAUGAGACACGGUCCAGACUCCUACGGUAGGCAGCAGUGGGGAAUAUUGCACAAUGGGCGCAAGCCUGAUGCAGCCAUGACGCGUGUGUGAAGAAGGCCUUCGGGUUGUAAAGCACUUUCAGCGGGGAGGCGUUACCCGCAGAAGAAGCACCGGCUAACUCCGUGCCAGCCACCGCGGUAAUUC